rnacentral:misc_RNA from 1 species
AUUUAAUCCUUUCGAUUUAACCAGUCUCGUUGCUUCCACCGCGCCGUCUCUGCUUCAAUCACAAUCGUUUUCAAUCGAAAAACAAUUUCAAGAACUAGGGAAGGCAAUCGUCUUCCCCAUCGUUCAAUUACUCUUUUUCGUAUUCUUUUCCCGCUGAAAUGGCUUCUUUAGGAAUUCGAUGUGGAGGAAAUUGCGGUGUAUUAGAUCGUCGAUAUGUGAAUCUUCACGACGGAUGCGAUCAGAAACCUGGUCCUCGUUCUUUAGUGGUUUCCACCGCAAGCUUAAGGAAAUCGAGGAAUCACAUUUCAGCGAUGAAGAGUUUACAGCCGGUGCAUCGUUAUAUGAAGGAGAGAAAAGAUGGCAACGAUGAGGUAAUUUCUCGCGAUAAGCUUGAUGAAUGGAUGAAGGAAUCGGUUGUUGACAUUGUGAAGAAUCUUCGAGAAGCGCCUCUGUUUGUGCGAUUUUACACGACGGAGGAUGGGAAGACGGCGAGAUUCGAGACGGAGAAAGCGGUGGAGGAAGAUCGUUGGCCGAUCUUGGAACAACAAUGGAAGAUCGGAGCAGCACCGACGCCGGAAGGCAUCAUAUUUGUUCAAGAGCUUGAAAAAGGGGAAAUCGACGGGGAAGAAUCGAAGGCUUGGGGGAUUGUAAUACAAGGGAGAUGCGUUGAACGUAGUGCUCCGGUUUGUUACUUGUUGAAGACGAGUAGAGCGGCGGGGCUAGGGCUAUGGUGUACGCAUUUCUGUCUGGUUAGGGUUAAGAAUUUCAGAGAGACGACCAAAUCGCAGCUCCAGAAUUGUUGGUUGCUGCAGAAUCAGUAAAAGAAGAAGAACAAGAACA